rnacentral:rRNA from 1 species
CGUUGAGAGAUUCAUGGUUAAGGAACUAGGCAAAUUGACCCCGUAACUUCGGGAUAAGGGGUCCUCAUAGCAAUAUGAGGCGCAGAGAAUAGGUCCAGGCAACUGUUUAACAAAAACACAGGGCUGUGCAAACUCGAAAGAUGACGUAUACAGCCUGACACCUGCCCGGUGCUGGAAGGUUAAGAGGAGAUGUCACUAGUAAUAGGAAGCAUUGAAUUGAAGCCCCAGUAAACGGCGGCCGUAACUAUAACGGUCCUAAGGUAGCGAAAUUCCUUGUCGGGUAAGUUCCGACCUGCACGAAUGGUGUAAUGAUCCGGACGCUGUCUCAACCAUGAGCUCAGUGAAAUUGUAGUAUCGGUGAAGAUGCCGAUUACCCGCGAUGGGACGAAAAGACCCCGUGAACCUUUACUAUAGCUUAGCACUGACCUUGGUCAUCCGAUGUGUAGGAUAGGCCGGAGGCUUUGAAGCAUGGGCGCCAGCCUGUGUGGAGCCAUCCUUGAAAUACGGCCCUUUGGCUGUCUGAGGUCUAACCCGCUUGAUGUGGGGACACUGCUUGGUGGGUAGUUUGACUGGGGUGGUCGCCUCCAAAAGCGUAACGGAGGCUUCCAAAGGUGCCCUCGGGCCGAUUGGUAACCGACCUCAUAGAGUGUAAUGGCAUAAGGGCGCUUGACUGGGAGGCAGACAUGCCGAGCAGGCAGGAAACUGGGGCAUAGUGAUCCGGCGGAUGUGUAUGGAAACUCCGUCGCUCAAAGGAUAAAAGGUACUCCGGGGAUAACAGGCUGAUCCCCCCCAAGAGCUCAUAUCGACGGGGUGGUUUGGCACCUCGAUGUCGGCUCGUCACAUCCUGGGGCUGGAGANNNNNNNNNGUGAGACAGUUCGGUCUCUAUCUAUCGUGGGCGUUGGAGUUUUGCGUGGUGCCGACACUAGUACGAGAGGACCGUGUUGGACAGACCUCCGGUUUACCAGUUGUGCCGCCAGGUGCACCGCUGGGUAUCUGAGUCUGGAUUGGAUAAGCGCUGAAAGCAUCUAAGUGCGAAGCCAGCCGCAAGAUGAGAACUCCUCAUAAGGGUCGUCAUAGACGAUGACGUUGAUAGGGUGUAGGUGUAAAGACGGUGACGUCAAAGCCGAGCACUACUAAUU